rnacentral:rRNA from 1 species
GACGUAGGGCGCGAGCGUUGUCCGGAUUUAUUGGGCGUAAAGAGCUCGUAGGCGGCUUGUCGCGUCGACUGUGAAAUCCCGCGGCUCAACUGCGGGUCUGCAGUCGAUACGGGCAGGCUAGAGUUCGGUAGGGGGAGACUGGAAUUCCUGGUGUAGCGGUGAAAUGCGCAGAUAUCAGGAGGAACACCGGUGGCGAAGGCGGGUCUCUGGGCCGAUACUGACGCUGAGGAGCGAAAGCGUGGGGAGCGAACAGG